GCCUCCUGGGAUACACUGACGCUAUGCACGAAAGCGUGGGGAGCAAACAGGGAAAUUCCCUGGUAGUCCACGCCCUAAACGAUGUCAACUAGAGUUGGGGCCUUCGGGCCUUGGUAGCGCAGCUAACGCGUGAAGUUGACCGCCUGGGGAGUACGGUCGCAAGAUUAAAACUCAAAGGAAUUGACGGGGACCCGCACAAGCGGUGGAUGAUGUGGAUUAAUUCGAUGCAACGCGAAAAACCUUACCUACCCUUGACAUGUCUGGAAUCCUGAAGAGAUUUAGGAGUGCUCGCAAGAGAACCGGAACACAGGUGCUGCAUGGCUGUCGUCAGCUCGUGUCGUGAGAUGUUGGGUUAAGUCCCGCAACGAGCGCAACCCUUGUCAUUAGUUGCUACGAAAGGGCACUCUAAUGAGACUGCCGGUGACAAACCGGAGGAAGGUGGGGAUGACGUCAAGUCCUCAUGGCCCUUAUGGGUAGGGCUUCACACGUCAUACAAUGGUCGGGACAGAGGGUCGCCAACCCGCGAGGGGGAGCCAAUCCCAGAAACCCGAUCGUAGUCCGGAUCGCAGUCUGCAACUCGACUGCGUGAAGUCGGAAUCGCUAGUAAUCGCGGAUCAGCAUGUCGCGGUGAAUACGUUCCCGGGUCUUGUACACACCGCCCGUCACACCAUGGGAGUGGGUUUUACCAGAAGUAGUUAGCCUAACCGCAAGGGGGGCGAUUAC
rnacentral:rRNA from 1 species